AGUGAACGCUGGCGGUAGGCCUAACACAUGCAAGUCGAACGGCAGCACAGUAAGAGCUUGCUCUUACGGGUGGCGAGUGGCGGACGGGUGAGGAAUACAUCGGAAUCUACUUUUUCGUGGGGGAUAACGUAGGGAAACUUACGCUAAUACCGCAUACGACCUACGGGUGAAAGCAGGGCAUCUUCGGACCUUGCGCGAUUGAAUGAGCCGAUGUCGGAUUAGCUAGUUGGCGAGGUAAAGGCCCACCAAGGCGACGAUCCGUAGCUGACCUGAGAGGAUGAGCGGCCAAAGGGGAACUGAGAGACGGUCCAGACUCCGACGGGAGGCAGAAGUAGGGAAUCUUACGAAAUGGGCGAAAGCUUGAAGGAGCAAAGUCGCGUGAGGGAUGAAGGUCUUCGGAUCGUAAAACUCUGUUAUUAGGGAAGAACAUAUGGGUAAGUAACAGUGCACAUCUUGACGGUACCUAAUCAGAAAGCCACGGCUAACUACGUG
rnacentral:rRNA from 1 species